GGAAGAGAAAGUCCUCCGAGAAGAGGAGGGUACGAGAAGAGGAGGGUACGUGGAGGAGAAGCGCUUGGUGGCCUUUCAGGACACAGUGGUUCAUUUCUCCAAAGAGGAUCAGCAUAUCCCAGAUUGAUGGGCAGAGGGCUCAGCCGAAGGAGAUCUCACUGGAGAAUCACGGGAAGGAGGCUUCCCUCAGUAAAGAACAGGACAACUAUAAUAGUUUG